UCGUCACAAAUCCCACAGUUAAAAUCAUAUUUUGGACCUACAACAGGCGCCCUCAUGAGGCAAACGGGGAGAACGGCGGUGGUUAUGAGUUUUAUGAGUUUUGCAGUUAUGAUAUCCAUUUAAAAAAUUUGGAAUCCAUCUUUAAGAUGAGAAAGAAGAUAUCUUACCUGUGGCAUCUCAACCGCCUUGCCCACUUCUAGUCGAACUAUAUAUGCUGGGUUUGUAAGAUGGAACUUAUAAGACAGAUAAGUGAAAGAAGCAUGAUGUGCGGGAGCAAUAGAAUCAACAACUGGGCCUUUGGAGAGUUACGAUUCGUAAGCAACCAACCGCAAGGGACUUAAGAAUUUAGUAACUUUUUUCUUUUGUUAAUAUGAGCCUCACAGGUGACUAUUAAUAAGGUAAAUGAGUUAAGUUAUAGAUUUGGAUCUAUGACUAUGUGAAAAGAUCCUAUGAUAAACUAGGAGGCAUAUCUACUACUACCAAAGGAAUGUAAUGUAGAAGAAUAUAAAUGGAACUUGUGUGAUGAA